GACGAACGCUGGCGGCGUGCCUAAUACAUGCAAGUAGAACGCACAGUUUAUACCGUAGCUUGCUACACCAUAGACUGUGAGUUGCGAACGGGUGAGUAACGCGUAGGUAACCUGCCUGGUAGCGGGGGAUAACUAUUGGAAACGAUAGCUAAUACCGCAUAAUAUUAAUUAUUGCAUGAUAAUUAAUUGAAAGGUGCAAUUGCACCACUACCAGAUGGACCUGCGUUGUAUUAGCUAGUAGGUGAGGUAACGGCUCACCUAGGCGACGAUACAUAGCCGACCUGAGAGGGGGAUCGGCCACACUGGGACUGAGACACGGCCCAGACUCCUACGGGAGGCAGCAGGAGGGAAUCUUCGGCAAUGGACGAAAGUCUGACCGAGCAACGCCGCGUGAGUGAAGAAGGUUUUCGGAUCGUAAAGCUCUGUUGUAAGAGAAGAACGGGUGUGAGAGUGGAAAGUUCACACUGUGACGGUAUCUUACCAGAAAGGGACGGCUAACUACGUG
rnacentral:rRNA from 1 species